CAAAAUUAAGCGUGUUCGCGCUACUUGUUCUCCGAUUUGUCACCCGCUGGCGGUUUGUACCAGUUUACGGUAAUUAGCUAAUCAAUGGUUUGAAUCUCAACCUAUAAUCUUUUUUUUUUUUUUUUUCGGGCGUGUCUGAUUUUAAUGAAACAGUUCAGUCGUAAGAUUUCAGUCUGGGGUGUGAUGAACCUGUAGUUUGUUACUGUCCGGCUAUCCUCGCUGAUUUUGUCCGUCGCAUUUCGCCCAUCUUCGGUGUCUGUCAAGUUUAAGCAGCAAGGCGUACGGUGAGAGGGCUGUCGGGUUUUUACGACCUUUGGCUUUUUUAAUUUCACCUUUAACCUGAGCUCAAUGCUGAACAUGGCAAAACGCGACAGUCAAAAUCAGCGAGGAUAAGCGGUCCAAGGUAAACUAUCAAACUAUAGAAAAAGUUGAGACUUUUCAAUUAAGGCCGGUUGAGACUGAUUGUGAUAGAUGAGCCUCCUCACCUCGCACGCAAACCCGGAGGGGACAUGACCCGAUGGAGGAGGAAACCCAGAAGCCAGCCACAAUGCAGCAGGAUGAGCACUAUAAUCAGCAUGAUUUUAUCAUUUUUAUUUCAGCUGUACUGUAGAGGUGUGCAUAGGCUAUGAACAUCCACAUCCCUCAAGAGCCAUGGUUUCCGUUCUCGACCAUGUGCAAAGUAGCCAUAUAGUAUUAUGGACUUUUUCUCUUCUGUGUUUGUGUUGUUACUCUUAACACCCAUCCAUUAGUGGCAAACUCAUAUGGUAUACUGACAGCUCUAAAACUGACAAGAGCAUGGGAGCUGGAGUCUUCGGGUCGAAUCCAAAGACUCAACUGAUGUUAAGC